UGAUGAUGAUGAUGAUGAUGAUGAUGAUGGUGAUGGCAAUGAAUUAAUUUGAAUUUUUGUUCCAUCUGAAUUAUGAUCAUUAUCUACAAUUAUU